AACCAUCCACCCACUGGCAGUCAGGGAAGAGGAAGAGAAGAGAGGGAAGUCUCUGGAUUGCUUUUGACCAGAGAAGUGAGGUCGUAUUGAAAAGAGUUUACAAAAACAAAUUCCUUAUAAGCAUUUUCCAUUUAUGUCUCAGAAUCCACUCUUCACCAUUCUGCAUCCUGCUCUCUGCUCUGGAGACUCCCUGGGAACUGUAUCCAUGGUCUCCUGCCUUCCAGACUGGGGUUGGAUUUGUCCAUUGUGAGAUGAAAAAAGUGAACUCAGAAUGGUUGGCCGAAUGCGGUGGCUCAUGCCUGUAAUCCUAGCACUUCGGGAGGCUGAGGUGGGCAGAUUGUGUGAGGUCAGGAUUUCAAGAUCAGCUUGAUCAACAUGGCGAAACCCCGUCUCUACUAAAAAUACAAAAAUUAGCCAGAUUUGUCCAAGGUAAGGAGGUCUGGACUGUGGAGAAGAUGGAGUUUGGAAGGAUAUGCAGCUUAUAAAUGCAGUUAGACACAGAGGAUUUCCAUUGCAUCUCCAGUUUGUUGGUGGCUGGUUCCUCCUUUGCUGGUCUCUUUUAUUCCAUCUGGAAGAUUCUGUUCAUGUACACCUCUGAACUCUAAACUAGUUGUUCCUGACUUUGUCUCUGCAACAUUUUUUCAGGCCUGUUGUAUUCCUGACCUUGCUUCCUCUGUGCAAUAUAUUUACUCCAGGUCAUCUCUACC
ensembl:lncRNA LINC02058 long intergenic non-protein coding RNA 2058